CGGAUAUUUCGCGAAGACGGAGCUCGACCGCCCACACAAGAAAUAGUUGAGUUUAUAGACACGCACCGGAAUGUAUAUGGAGUCGAGCCGAUCUGCAAAGUCUUACCGAUUGCUUCA
rfam:Salinispira pacifica strain L21-RPul-D2, complete genome.